rnacentral:rRNA from 1 species
GAUGAACGCUGGCGGCGUGCUUAACACAUGCAAGUCGAACGGGAAUUACUUUAUUGAAACUUCGGUCGAUUUAAUUUAAUUCUAGUGGCGGACGGGUGAGUAACGCGUGGGUAACCUGCCUUAUACAGGGGGAUAACAGUCAGAAAUGGCUGCUAAUACCGCAUAAGCGCACAGAGCUGCAUGGCUCAGUGUGAAAAACUCCGGUGGUAUAAGAUGGACCCGCGUUGGAUUAGCUUGUUGGUGGGGUAACGGCCCACCAAGGCGACGAUCCAUAGCCGGCCUGAGAGGGUGAACGGCCACAUUGGGACUGAGACACGGCCCAGACUCCUACGGGAGGCAGCAGUGGGGAAUAUUGCACAAUGGGGGAAACCCUGAUGCAGCGACGCCGCGUGAAGGAAGAAGUAUCUCGGUAUGUAAACUUCUAUCAGCAGGGAAGAUAGUGACGGUACCUGACUAAGAAGCCCCGGCUAA